rnacentral:rRNA from 1 species
GCAUAACACUGAGAAAUCGGUACUAAUUCCCCAUAACAUUCGAAGAGGCAUCUUUUCGGGUUGAAAACUCCGGUGGUUAUGGAUGGGCAUGCGUUGUAUUAGCUGGUUGGUGAGGUAACGGCUCACCAAGGCGACGAUACAUAGGGGGACUGAGAGGUUAACCCCCCACAUUGGUACUGAGACACGGACCAAACUCCUACGGGAGGCAGCAGUGAGGAAUAUUGGUCAAUGGACGCAAGUCUGAACCAGCCAUGCCGCGUGCAGGAAGACGGCUCUAUGAGUUGUAAACUGCUUUUGUACGAGAGUAAACGCUCUUACGUGUAAGAGCCUGAAAGUAUCGUACGAAUAAGGAUCGGCUAACUCCGUGCCAGCAGCCGCGGUAAUACGGAGGAUCCGAGCGUUAUCCGGAUUUAUUGGGUUUAAAGGGUGCGUAGGCGGUUUGAUAAGUUAGAGGUGAAAUACCGGUGCUUAACACCGGAACUGCCUCUAAUACUGUUGAACUAGAGAGUAGUUGCGGUAGGCGGAAUGUAUGGUGUAGCGGUGAAAUGCUUAGAGAUCAUACAGAACACCGAUUGCGAAGGCAGCUUACCAAACUAUAUCUGACGUUGAGGCACGAAAGCGUGGGGAGCAAACAGGAUUAGAUACCCUGGUAGUCCACGCAGUAAACGAUGAUAACUCGCUGUCGGCGAUACACGGUCGGCGGCUAAGCGAAAGCGAUAAGUUAUCCACCUGGGGAGUACGUUCGCAAGAAUGAAACUCAAAGGAAUUGACGGGGGCCCGCACAAGCGGAGGAACAUGUGGUUUAAUUCGAUGAUACGCGAGGAACCUUACCCGGGCUUGAAAGUUACUGACGAUUCUGGAAACAGGAUUUCCCUUCGGGGCAGGAAACUAGGUGCUGCAUGGUUGUCGUCAGCUCGUGCCGUGAGGUGUCGGGGUACUGUCUCUGAUGCACCUCUGACGCUGCCGACGAGCGAUGUAGUGUAGAUCUCGGGUGGCGGCGAAUAGUUGACUACAGAAGGA